CCAAGAAGAACAAGAACCAUCAACCACCAGUUCAGUGGCGGGGGGGGGGGCACCAUAAAGCAUUUGUGCUUAGGGCACCCAAAUGGCUAGCAACGGCCCUGCCUGUGGCUCCUCACCUUGUUUGCUCUCGCUACUUAAGGCAGUGACUGAGAGCACCUCGCCGCUGGACUAUUGAGUAACGCUCAUUUCUCGUGCUUGGUUUGGAAAUCUGGACACCUAAGCCUGUUCGUGAGUGCCGUAGUGAGAGUGGCGUGUGUGAGGAAAGGACCUUUCCAAGCGCGCCGCUCUGCCCAAGUGGGGCGGAGUAAGAGAGGACACUUUUCCCAAUUCUUCCCUGUACCCCUGGGAACCCUAGCCCCCUUCUCCUUCACCAGUGUAUAGUGCACCAGGAGUGUGUAAAUAAAACCAGUUUUCUGUGA